CGAUGGGCCCUACAAGGUUACUGACGUCAGCCAAACUCCGAAUGCCGGUAAGUGAGAGCGCAGCAGUGAGACUGUGGGGGAUAAGCUUCAUAGUCGAGAGGGAAACAACCCAGACCACCAACUAAGGUCCCUAAGCGCGUGCUAAGUGGGAAAGGAUGUGGAGUUGCUUUGACAACCAGGAGGUUGGCUUAGAAGCAGCCACCCUUGAAAGAGUGCGUAAUAGCUCACUGGUCAAGUGAUUCCGCGCCGACAAUGUAACGGGGCUCAAGCACGCCACCGAAGUUGUGGCAUUGACAUUUUUGGUAGGCCUUCGUGGUCCAGCCGUGUUGAUGGGUAGGAGAGCGUCGUGUGGCGAGUGAAGCGGCGGGGUGACCCAGCGGUGGACGCUACACGAGUGAGAAUGCAGGCAUGAGUAGCGAAAGACGUGUGAGAAACACGUCCUCCGAAAGACCAAGGGUUCCAGGGUCAAGCUAAUCUUCCCUGGGUAAGUCGGGACCUAAGGCGAGGCCGACAGGCGUAGUCGAUGGACAACGGGUUGAUAUUCCCGUACCGGCGAAGAACCGCCCAAGCUAAUCCAGUGGUGCUAAGAGUCCUAGCUCGGAAUGUUCCGGAUCCCUUCGGGGUGAUGGUCGUCCGUGUGAACGCUCGACCCCAUGCUGGUGCGGCUAGCGUAUUAACAGGUGUGACGCAGGAAGGUAGCCCAAGCCAGGCGAUGGUUGUCCUGGUGCAAGUGCGUAGGCCGACUCUUAGGCAAAUCCGGGAGUCAUUCAGGCUGAGACACGAUGCGGAUAAAAAGUGGGUGAUCCUAUGCUGCCGAGAAAAGCAUCGACGCGAGGUUCUAGCUGCCCGUACCCCAAACCGACUCAGGUGGUCAGGUAGAGAAUACCAAGGAGAUCGAGAGAAUCGUGGUUAAGGAACUCGGCAAAAUGCCCCCGUAACUUCGGGAGAAGGGGGGCCAUCCACUUAUUAGGACUUGCUCCGAAAGGGUGUGGUGGCCGCAGAGACUAGUGGGUAGCGACUGUUUACUAAAAACACAGGUCCGUGCCAAGUCGCAAGACGAUGUAUACGGACUGACGCCUGCCCGGUGCUGGAAGGUUAAGAGGACCGGUUAGCCGCAAGGCGAAGCUGAGAAUUUAAGCCCCAGUAAACGGCGGUGGUAACUAUAACCAUCCUAAGGUAGCGAAAUUCCUUGUCGGGUAAGUUCCGACCUGCACGAAUGGCGUAACGACUUCCCAACUGUCUCAACCGCGAACUCGGCGAAAUUGCAUUACGAGUAAAGAUGCUCGUUACGCGCAGCAGGACGGAAAGACCCCGUGACCUUUACUACAGCUUGGUAUUGGUGUUCGGUGUGGCUUGUGUAGGAUAGGUGGGAGACGGUGAAGCAUUCACGCCAGUGAGUGUGGAGUCAUUGUUGAAAUACCACUCUGGUCACUCUGGAUAUCUAACUUAGGACCGUGAUCCGGUUCAGGGACAGUGCCUGGUGGGUAGUUUAACUGGGGCGGUUGCCUCCCAAAAUGUAACGGAGGCGCCCAAAGGUUCCCUCAACCUGGUUGGCAAUCAGGUGGCGAGUGUAAGUGCACAAGGGAGCUUGACUGUGAGACUGACAGGUCGAGCAGGGACGAAAGUCGGGACUAGUGAUCCGGCAGUGGCUUGUGGAAGCGCUGUCGCUCAACGGAUAAAAGGUACCUCGGGGAUAACAGGCUGAUCUUGCCCAAGAGUCCAUAUCGACGGCAUGGUUUGGCACCUCGAUGUCGGCUCGUCGCAUCCUGGGGCUGGAGUAGGUCCCAAGGGUUGGGCUGUUCGCCCAUUAAAGCGGUACGCGAGCUGGGUUUAGAACGUCGUGAGACAGUUCGGUCCCUAUCCGCUGCGCGCGUAGGAAGUUUGAGAGGAUCUGACCCUAGUACG
rnacentral:ncRNA from 1 species